rnacentral:rRNA from 1 species
GACGAACGCUGGCGGCGUGCCUAAUACAUGCAAGUUGAGCGCUGAAGGUUGGUACUUGUACCGACUGGAUGAGCAGCGAACGGGUGAGUAACGCGUGGGGAAUCUGCCUUUGAGCGGGGGACAACAUUUGGAAACGAAUGCUAAUACCGCAUAAAAACUUUAAACACAAGUUUUAAGUUUGAAAGAUGCAAUUGCAUCACUCAAAGAUGAUCCCGCGUUGUAUUAGCUAGUUGGUGAGGUAAAGGCUCACCAAGGCGAUGAUACAUAGCCGACCUGAGAGGGUGAUCGGCCACAUUGGGACUGAGACACGGCCCAAACUCCUACGGGAGGCAGCAGUAGGGAAUCUUCGGCAAUGGACGAAAGUCUGACCGAGCAACGCCGCGUGAGUGAAGAAGGUUUUCGGAUCGUAAAACUCUGUUGGUAGAGAAGAACGUUGGUGAGAGUGGAAAGCUCAUCAAGUGACGGUAACUACCCAGGAAGGGACGGCUAACUACGUG